GUUCCAGUCUAAUUUCUAACUUAGGGAGAAAGGGUGAUGCCAGUCCUCAAUAGCAAGUCAAUCUUGAACCGUUGAUUCGUGCUGGUUCUGAGUUUGCACAAGCCGGUCUCGUUCUAGUUCUGGUUGGUCUUGAACCAUCCCUGAUCAAGUCUACCAUCCACCCAAUUACAAGGACUGUUUAUGUUUAUGAACCUGCAGCUGCAGGCUAGAUUUAUAUUGAAAGAACAAUAUUGAUGAUGAUAUAAUUCAAAUUGCGUGUGGAUGGUGGAUGGGCUGCCAUGCAGUAUCAAGUAGCGUUUGUCUUAUAGAUAGAGGCUGCCAAUGGAUAAGGAUUUUGAACCCACAGAUGCUUUAAGUUUGAGAAGCAACCAGACGCCAACAUAGUUGGGGUGAUCCAAAAUUAUUUCAAAUAUAAGAUCACGCUGUUCGUUUUGGCCUUUCUGAUUGCUUUUCUAUAAUUAACAAUCAGAAAUUAAGUAAUACAAGCUCCACCACAUGGUCAAGUUAUGCUAAAUCCAUAAUUUUUACAUAAAUAUUACACAAGGACAAAGCAGUGGAUGAGAGAUAUGGUGGCUUUUCAUUUAGGCUGCUUCAGCAAAUCCAACUCUCAGGUUCCCAUAGUCAAACACUGUGUGAUAAGGGCCCAUGAAUACAUCUCCCAAAAUCCAUAGAGGUCCAUGAGGAGGGGGCACGUCCAAAGCAGUAAAUCCACUAAUGCAUUGAGCUGAAACUCCCUCUCCUACUUUAAGAACGUACUGCUCUGGUGUAAGGCCAAAUACUUUACCACCAAUUGUGAAUGAGACGUGAGGCAUGGAAGAUAGACUGCCACAAUCAACUGCUGAUUCUCCAUUUGGACUGGGCAAUCGAUCACAUAGUUCAUUCACGUAGUUCAAUAUCUGAUCUUCUGUCUGAUUUAGCUUUAUACGAUUUUGCAUCCAUACAAUCAUCAUCUCACAAGCAGCACACAUAGCAUCUUGUACACCAUUAGAUACUUCGUCUGUAGUUUCAUCCACCACGCUCUCAAUAUUUGUACUGACACCCCGAGCCCCAUCAAAAGUACAAAAGCCAAUUUGAGAGCAGAUCUUUUGCGGUUUUGCCUGCUUUAGGAAAGGGGGAAAUAGUAAAAUAAAGUAGAAGCCAGUUCAUUGAAAGGAGUUCAAGGAUAAAGUUGGCCACAAAAACACAAAUCUUAACCGGUUGCAUCAAGUCUACACAAAUGUACUCGGAAAUGGAAGAGUAGUUAGGAACCAUGAAAAGAAAAUGAAACCCCAUAAAAUUUACCUGAGCCAUCAGCAUUUCCAGUAUGACUUUCCCAUAUUGUGCAACUACUGUCUUGCAUUGUUGGCUUACAAUACCAGAGGCUCCAAUGGCACGAUUAAUUUGAGUAAUCACAGUCGUUGGGCCCGCCAGUAAAGAGGUUCCAGAAUCAGCAAUUGCCUUACAGCCAUUACCACAAAGUCCUGUUGAUUCAUUGCCAACUAAUACGUCACCCAUAUCGAACUGCCAAUAACCUUUUUGAGUCACUGGAACAUAUGUGUGCUCACCCUUGUAAUGAUUGGAAUCAAUCCCACCAAACACAAUUUCUCCUCCUUCUUCUCCUUUAACAUUGCGGUUUAACCAAAAUGAAAAAACUUGUUCCGUAACAAGACCUUGAUUGACCAUAUUAUACCAAACUGGAACAGUUUUCCCAACUGAGAUCUCUUGGAACCCAAGUCCAAGAAUACCAUCAAACUUGGCGGCCAAAAAUGUGACGCCUGGCUCUUUUGUUGCCUCAAUAAAAUCCUGAUUCCUAACAACAAAAUCACCCACUUUGACAUUGUCCUGGCUAAAGAAACCAGCAAUUGAACCAGUUCCAUACUGGAUUGCAGCGGAGGUACCUGCAACAAUGAGGAAAAAAUGAUUAAUCUGAAAUAUGUGAAUUUACUUAUAUAUAUGUUGAAAUAUGUAAAGAUAGUUAGCUGCCGAGCAAAUCUUCAUCAUCUCUACUUCUUCAUUUCUCUCUUCUAUUUUUUCAAUAUAUAUUAAAAAUUAUAUUUAUUUUUAUUUAAGUAUAUUUUUAUAAAUAAUAUAAAUAAAGUCUUAUUAUUUUUUCCUCCACUGACUAACAUUGCUAGCUCCACCACUGGCUCACUGCCAAAAUGAAGCACAUUUGCCAUUAAAUUAAAGAAGAAACAUGCUAAGAUUAAAUGAAUCAUCAAAUAGUAGACAGAAGAUUAUUCCAAGUUAAAUUAAUCUAUUUUCCCCAGUUAUAAUGUAAUAGAAGGACCCUUUUAUGGCAAUGUUGCAUAAAAUUCAUAUAGACUAAAGGAAAAUUCUUGUCCAUACCAAGGCAUUACACCAAACCAAUAGGUGAAUGCCAAGCAUGAGUGAGUGUAUAACACUCAAAGCACAUGACAAUCAUUCAUUGCUAAGUGUAAAACACUCAAGGACAAGAUACUUGGCACUUGCCUGUUAGUUUGGUGUAGUGCACCUGAUGUAGGCAAGUUUUUCCCAAGACUUUUAGGGUCAAAUGGAGCUAAUCCCAAAUUCCCCCACUAACGUGACUAUAAAUAAGGAAAAUCAAGAAAAGGGUGGGAGAAGGUGGUUUAAUCUCAUUGGAAAGCAUGCUUAAAGUCUUAAAGACUUAAACCAGGAAAAGAG
rnacentral:misc_RNA from 1 species